rnacentral:tRNA from 1 species
GUUUUUGUAGUUGAAUACAACGAUGGUUUUUCAGAUCAUAGGUCUUGGUUAAAGUCCAGGCAAGAAUU